AUCAUGCGCAGCAUCGCCAUGGUGGUGUGGGAGAAGGCGGCGUUUUGCGUGACCUCCAUUGAGUCUUCUCCAGGGCGGGGAAUCCAGCCUAUGCUCCCCAAAUCCGUUCAUUCCCAUGCCGUCUCUUCGGUUGGUCGCUACAAGUACAGGAUUUCACCAUGCUUGGCCAUUCCCAACUUCUGUUACGCAUGAUACGAAGGGGAACUCCACCCCCCACAUCUGGAAACGGCAUUCUUUCGUCCAUUUCUCUCAGGACCACUUGAGGUGCCUUUCUUCACAGGAGAGGCCCAAAGACAGAGAUUGAAGUUGAGGAUUGUAAACACCAUGUUUGUUGUGAUCGAAUGUUGGAUCUUAUAAGAGAAAAGUAAGAAAUGUCAAACAACUCCAAUCAAGCAACUCCAACCACUCCUCCUCUCUCUCUUAUUAUUCAAUGCUCAGAGUUGUUCAGCACUAAAUGAGGUGACAAAGAGAAAGAGUUGUGGGUGUAUCCAAUGGUGAAGUGUUAAGGUCUGAUCACUCUCUCUCUCUCUCUCUCUAUAUAUAUAUAUAUAUAUAUAUAUAUAUAUAUAUAUAUAUAUAUAUAUAAUAUAUCCUUGCAGUAUGAAAAAUAUUGUAAACUGUUUAAUCAGAUAUUUCAAAGGACUCACAUGUCAUUCAAACAUAAUUUCACGAGAAUAUAACUGAGUUCUUAGUUUGAGUUUUUAUUUUUUAAAGAAACUUUGGAAGUGAUGGCAUGUGACUAGUGCAUGUGACUGGCUGACUAGCAGUGGUUUGCAGCCCUCAAGUUUUAAUGCCUUAUAGCCCUUUGAUCUUUUGAUGUUGUAUUUUCCUUCUUAUACAUUGAAAGGCUGUGAUUUUCAGAAGAAAUUUGUCGUCUUUUUAAGCAAACUAUGUAGAUCACAUGUAUCAUAUUAUUUUAAUCACUUGGAUGGGAUGAUUAUAUUCAAGGGAACACUAGGACAUAAAGAUACACGAUCCAAUCUCUCUCUUUUUCAAAUCAAUUAUCCAAUUGCAGCAAGUGAUCAUACAUACAUAUAUACAUAGAGAGAGAGAGAGAGAGAGAGAGAGAGGUGGAUUCCCACAUAAAGUGGGAAUCCCCUCUCUUUGCAGCCACCUGAUGCACGCUCCCACCCUUUUUGUUUUUCUUGGGUUGUACUUUCUCAUUUGGACACUCUUUGGCUAAAGCUGGCUGGAGAAAUCCUAUAUAUAUAUAUAUAUAUAUAUAUAUAUAUAUAUAUAUAGAGGGCGAGAGAGAGAGAAAUUAGUAGGUGUAUGAGACCUGUAAAGAAUCAUUUUGGCAAUUGCCCUUUCCAAAGUGGAUGACUGAGAAAAUUAAGGAGAAAAAAUAAAUAAAAUAUUUAAGUAACAACUUUUUUUUCUUGAUUUUCUCUCAACCAUCCAUCUUGAAAAAAUCAAUGGCCAAGAUGGUUCUGUAUGACCACGUUUGAAACUUCGAAUACAUGGUAUGAAAAUGUCCAACAUUAAAAUGUCAGGUAUUUAAUACUAGGUGUCAUCAGGUGGAACAAAAUAUCAGGUUCCACCUGCCAUAUUUUGUGCGAUGACAUGGUACUUUUGUUUCGCCUAUUUAGUUGGAACUUUAUUGCUAGAACAAAAAUACCAGGACCAAGCAAAAACACCCAGGAUUCAAGUUUCACUUUUGUUUCACCGUGGAACUUUCUGGAUUACUUCUAUAGUGGAAUACCACAUAUUCAAAACGUAGCCUAUGGGUCUCUUACUAAUCUCUCUCUUUUGAUAUGUAUAUACACGUAUAGGAAGAAAUCUAUUAGCUGCUGGAUUUUGCUGGAUGGAUAAAUAUUUAAAAUGCAUCAUAAGAAGCAUCAUAAACCAUCAUCAACCAUCACUGCUCGUGGUCAGGUAUUUUUAGCUAUGGUUUUUAAAGAAAUUUUCACCCAAUAACUGGCUGAUUUUGAUUCAUAUAUACCACCUUUGCACCUUUGAACGGGGAGAGUGUGGCAUGUCCGUAACACAAAUGAAAUGAGCAUUUUUGUGCUUUCACAAAAGUAUUUAACCUGCUGACUUUUCUAGCCCUUUGCCGUGGAGGGAUGAAAUGAUCAAUAAUUUAGAUCUUUCUUUUGGGAGUUUUGGCUUUAUGGUAAUAAAGGACAAGCAAUUUUGAUCAUUCCAAAUCCAAGCUCAUGCACUUUGAUCUAGAGGAAAAGAGGCAAAAAAUGGAAACUUAUAGCAAUUUUCCACACCAUGAGGAUGUGUUGCACUUUCCUACCAUAUGAUGAUAGCAGGGCCAGUAUUUUCACAGAUCAAUGGCAAAUACCCCUAAAUGCCAGCUAAAAUGAUGUACAAAGUGAAGUGUUGAUGUACAAAGUGCGAAAAGUGAUGUACAAAGUGAAGUGUAAUAAACAAGUUCCCAAGAGAUGCUUAGAUGGUUGAGUCAAUAUGCAGAGGCAGCUUGAUAAAGUCACUGGCAGCAGGUUGACUGCCUAAUCUCACUCUGUGCAAAGCUUUUUACACAGCAUUGCAAGUACCCCUAAAUGCCAGAUAAAAUGCAAAAGUAUCGACAGAUUGGUACUUCAUGUGAUAAAGUUAUCUUGAGGGGAAAAAGGAGUUUUUUUUUUUGUGUGUGUUGAGGUCAUUGGUUUUGUUGAAUGUAUAUAUAUAUAUAUAUAGUGCACUGUCUUCUUUCUAAGUUGUGCCUACUAAUUGUUAAAUUGGAGACUGGUUGUAGGUUUUGCCAGUGGCUUAUUGCAUUGGGUGGCCUUGAUUGGACGGAGAUCCAGAUGGAUAGAGGAUCUCACCUCUCUCUCUCUCUCUCUAUAUAUAUAUAUAUAUAUAUAUAACAAAGAUGAGUUAAUAUAUCCCACACAACGUAAAUCUCAAAAAGAAAUUGUUUGUAUCUAUCUAUAUAUAUAUAUGUAUAUGUAACAAAGACGAGUUAAUAUAUCCCAGACAACUUAAAUCUCAAAAAAGAAAAUGUUCGUUUAUGUAGAUCUCACAAUUGAACUUAGCAUAUAUUAAGCCAGCUGUUUUACUUUCUUUGAUGUAUUCUCUGGGUAAUAAUACUCAAUGACUCUCAUGUAAAUUUUGAUGAUAGGGUUAAGAUUUUUGUAAGAUCAGUUUUUGUAAAACCUUUUUAGUAAUAACUAAGAAGUGAUAAAGAUAUUUGAGCAUUCAAAUUAAGUUACUGUCAUUUUCUCUUGACAUAAGUUGCUUGGGAGCUGUUUGGUAGUGGGAAUAGUUGCGUACUGUUACAUGAAUAUAACUACUAAAAUAGCGAUGAAUCUGUCUAUUUUAUGGUUAAACUUCAUAUAAUAGUAUGUAGUUAUUCUAUGCCAAACAGCCCCUAAGGUUCACGUCCAGCAACCCUAGGUGAGAGAGAAGAGGGAGUGAAAAUACCAUUCUCAAAAUAGAACUGGUUGAACCAUUCUUAAUGUGUGUGUGUGUGUGUGUGUUUCUCUCUCUGUUAUAUACACACACACACACAACUAUGUGAAGGAGAAGAGUGAACAAACCAGAACCAACUCGUUCACACAGCUGAUGGCAGCUAUUUUCCAAAAGUCCAUCUCCACAGGUGAGGUUGGAUAGUUGAAAUCUAUAUAAGUGCAAUAAAAUUUACCGAAAUCGAGUGUGUGUAUGUGAUUUUGUGGCCCCUUAGUUUUGAAGUUUAUGGUGCCAUGAUUUUGGUCCCUUAUCAAAUGUCUUACACACCUUCGUUUUCUGUGAUUUCUUUUUC